UCAAUAGAGAACGAUGAGGCUACCUUGGGUUCAUCGUCAAGUGAAUAAGGAGGCAGUGAAAGGGGAGUCGAGGAGACUUCAGCGACGACGUUCCAAGAGCGGGAGCAGGGUCGUAGGCGGAAGACACGGGCAAUGGGACUUCUGCGACUUUCGCUAACCGAGAUGGUAAAACCCUACAUACUCCAUACCUCCGAUCCUGCAGUAGCUUGGGAAAUAUUAGCAAAGGUAUACUCUACUCAGACAAUAGCAGAUGUGAUGAAAUAUUGGACAGAUGGGAAAAUUUUAAAAUGAAAGAAGAAAUGCCAGUUUCAGUAUUUAUGUAAAACGUGUUUGACAUGGUAAACGACUUGAAGAAAAUCAACGAGUCCCCUUCAGAUACUGUGAUAGUACACAAAGUGCUCAAAUGUCUACCCAUGAAGUAUGAGAUUUUUGUGAGAAUCCUGCGAACCGAGAAGGAAACCCCGUCCCUCGCAAGCCUAGCAAGCAAGUUUCACAUUGAGGAAACGGAGAUGGCUCUUAGAGCGGAAAUUAAUGAAGAGGCUCUUGUUUUCAAGAUCAGAAAUCUGCUAAGGGGCAGGUAGAAACCUUCUUUCGGGGAGAAAUCAUCAAAUGAUUUUCAAACACAAGCUCGCAGAGAACCAUCUUCACAACGCUCAAACAACAGAAAUCUUGAGUAGCGACGGGAGCACCGAUUUGAUCAGCGAUGGCACCGGUGUGGUAAAUUGGGACAUAUCGCGAGGUUCUGUCGAGCCGCAGAACCACAAUCCACUGAUCGAUACAAGCUCAGAGCUGAUCUUUCGAAAGAAACUGUUGGGGAAUCUUACCCCACAUCACGAGAAAUCCAAGAGGCAAUGAACGUACUCUCCGUAGCCUCUUUGCAUGACAAAGGGUAAUUGACUGUGGAGCGUCUAGACGUUUCACCAGGGAUAAAGAAUUCUUCUCUAGCAUCAAGGACCCAUCUCACCAGCAGUUCGUAGCAAUGGCAGAUGGUAGGAUGCAUACCGUAAAAGGGCAGGGAGAUGUACAACUUUUCGAUACAACAAAUGAAAUAAAUCUCAAGAGUGUUUUGUAUAUAUUGGGCCUAAGGCAGAACUUGCUCUCCGUGGG
rnacentral:lncRNA from 1 species